rnacentral:rRNA from 1 species
UAUCUCUGUAGAGUCUGCAUAUCAAUAAGCGGAGGAAAAGAAACUAACUAAGGAUUCCCUCAGUAACGGCGAGUGAAGCGGGAAGAGCUCAAAUUUGAAAUCUUCAAGGUUCUACCUUGACGAAUUGUAGUUUAUAGAAGUGUUUUCUGUAGUGGAGUUUUGGUAAAAGUUCUUUGGAAUAGGACAUCAUAGAGGGUGAGAAUCCCGUAUUUGGCCAUUAUUUCCAACUUUGUGAUACACUUUCAAAGAGUCGGAUUGUUUGGGAAUGCAGUCCAAAAUGGGUGGUAAAUUUCAUCUAAAGCUAAAUACUGGCGAGAGACCGAUAGCGAACAAGUACCGUGAGGGAAAGAUGAAAAGAACUUUGAAAAGAGAGUUAAACAGUACGUGAAAUUGUCAAAAGGGAAGCGUUUGACACCAGUGUUGUUUUCUCGAAAAUCAAUUAAAAAUGGCGGGAUUUUGUGUUGUAUUGACUUUAUCAGCUUUCUGCACUUUUUUCUUGUCUUUUUUAAUGCACUUUUCGUUUAACAAGUCAACAUCAAUUUCUUUUGUUGUAAAAGAGUCAUUGGAAGGUGGCUUUCACUUCGGUGAAAGUGUUUAUAGCCUUUGACUUCUGCAAUCGGAGAGAUUGAGGUCUGCAGCGUAGAUCCUUCGGGGUUAGAUGCAUUUGUGCUAAGUUAUAGCCUUUCAUAGACAACUUGUUGACUAUGAUCAGUCAUGUAGCUUACUCGCUUAUGUCAUUUUACCUACGCUUAGGAUGUUGACGCAUGAGAUAUACG